rnacentral:rRNA from 1 species
CUUGGUCAUUUAGAGGAAGUAAAAGUCGUAACAAGGUUUCCGUAGGUGAACCUGCGGAAGGAUCAUUAUUGAAAUAAACCUGAUGGGCUGUUGCUGGUUCUCUAGGGAGCAUGUGCACGCCUUGUCAUCUUUAUAUCUCCACCUGUGCACCUUUUGUAGACCCCUCCAGGUCUAUGUCGCUUCAUUUACCCCCAAUGUAUGUUGAUAGAAUGUCGUGACUAUAUAAAAUCUAUACAACUUUCAGCAACGGAUCUCUUGGCUCUCGCAUCGAUGAAGAACGCAGCGAAAUGCGAUAAGUAAUGUGAAUUGCAGAAUUCAGUGAAUCAUCGAAUCUUUGAACGCACCUUGCGCUCCUUGGUAUUCCGAGGAGCAUGCCUGUUUGAGUGUCAUUAAUAUAUAUCAACCACUCUUCUUGAGUGGCUUGGAUGUGGGGGGUUUGCUGGCCUGUUCAGCUCCCCUGAAAUGCAUUAGCGGAACGACCUGUUCAUUCAUUGGUGUGAUAACUAUCUACGCUAUUGAGUGCGAGGCGGUUCAGCUUCCUAACGGUCCUUGGACAGUUUUUAUCAUUUUAUGUGACCUCAAAUCAGGUAGGACUACCCGCUGAACUUAAGCAUAUCAAUAAGCGGAGGA